rnacentral:lncRNA from 1 species
AGCACUUCACUUUUUUUUUAUGCGCCUCUCUUCACUUUCCCUAAUCUAUCAAACUCUGCAAAUUAAGAAUCCGGCGCAUCCAACUUAUACUGUCGUCUCCAACUCGUCAACUCCCUCAAGGCUCAACGACUUCAUCUAGGCCACACAUAAUCACGUCUAUUUGUUGUUUUCACUCUUUCCCGGUCUCUCUCUGUCGUCCGACGGUAGCCGCCGCCUAGUCCUCGCCGGCUUGCCUCGUCUCCUUCGAUCGACGGCAGAAGUGAGGUAAGGCGGCAGCCUAUUAGGGUGUUUUCGAAGUUUGAUUUUUUUUUUCGCCUUACUGAAGAAUCCAUGGAUUAAGUCGAACAUUUUGUAGAUAUACAGAAAUACUUGAAUAUUUUGUAAAUCUCCAAAUAAUCAGACAUUAGACAAAAUACUUGAUGCUCAUUGCUUUUAUUCAUGGAUAAUGUUAAGAUGUAUGAAAUCAUUUGUUGAAGACAAAAAAACAAUAUAAAGCAGCCCUAAUUUUAUUUCUAAAUCAGUCUAAAUUAUGCGGUUUCUUCAUCUUCACUCUAUUUUUUGUUUUAAUUCUUUCAUCAUAACUCUGCUUCUCUAUGCGCCUCCUUUUUCUUCUCUUCUUUAUUCAGACCCUCUUCUUAUUCUUUCUUCUUGCUGGCAGAAUGUUUCCUUCUUUUUCAUCUCUUUUCUUCAGUUCCUUCUUGUUCUUUUAUUCUUUCCUCUCUCUCUCUCUCCUUUUCUAGUACCUCGCCGGCGCUCACCAAGCCCUAGCUCUCCCUUUCUCUCUCAUCCCCACACUCUCUAUCUCUUUCAGUCGAUUGUAGAUAUAGAUUCCGUAACUAUACCCCGAGUUUUAUUCUCCAGCUGAAUUGCCGAUUAAUUCCGACAAGGUACCGUUCUGUCAAUUGUCAAUUUACCGUUCCUCUCUGAAGGAUUUGUUCUGAUUAACUUCUGUGUUAUCGUUCCUAGCUUUGCUGAAGCUCUUUCCGUGUGCGUGUGUGUGUGUGUUUCCCUUUCACCUGAAGCUGAUUACUGAUCGAUCCCGCUUCUGNNN